GUCUACGGCCACACUACUCUGAAUGCUCCAGAUUUCAUCUGAUCUCAGAAGCUAAGCAGGGUUGGGCCUGGUUAGUACUUGGGUGGCAAGAAGGGCUUUCAUUCAUC
rnacentral:rRNA from 1 species